CCCUUAGAUGUUCUGGGCCGCACACGCGCUACACUGAAUAGAUCAACGUGUUCCCCCUUUCCGAGAGGAACGGGUAAACCGCUGAACCCUAUUCGUGGUAGGGAUCGGGGCUUGCAAUUGUUCCCCGUAAACCAGGAAUUCCCAGUAGGCGCAAGUCAUAAGCUUGUGUCGAUUACGUCCCUGCCCUUUGUACACACCGCCCGUCGCUACUACCGAUUGAACGUUUUAGUGAGGUCCUCGGACUGUUUGGUAGGCGGAUUACUCUGCCUGCCUGGUGGGAAGACGACCAAACUGUAGCGUUUAGAGGAAGUAAAAGUCGUAACA
rnacentral:rRNA from 1 species